UUCACAGCCAUGUGUGUAGGACCCCAAAGGAUCACCAUUAAAUUUGGCACAGAUCUCUAGAAAAGUUAUCACAUGGGAGUGGGACUUGACUUUUCUAGAGAUCUGUGCCAAAUUUAAUCAUGAUCUUUUGGGGUCCUACAUGUGGGUGUGGG
rnacentral:pre_miRNA from 1 species